CUUGGAUUGGUUGAGGCCAGGAGUUUGAAAUCAAACCGAGCAGGAGCAAGACCCCGUCUCUACUGAAAAUCGAGAAAUCAGCCGGCAUGGUGGAACACACGCCGCAGUGCUCCGCACACAGGGCUCCAUGAAAGGGCGGAACAGGGCAUCAGAACCGUAUUCAAGCCUGAUACAUUCUGCUCCUCAGACUUUAACACAGUGCCACCCAAAGGGACCCAGCACUCACUCACUCAUAAACAGCAAAUAUUACAUUGUGAAAUAAUUGUUUUAAGAAGAAACACACAGAAGUGAAUAAAGCAAAGCCAUUAAGCUUGUCUUCCUGUGACACGUCAGCCCAGCAGGGUGCUCUGGGCACAGGGUUCGGAAGACCGGGACUGGCGGCCCGGAGCUGCCCCGCUUACGCGGUCACCUGUGACUGCCCACACUCGCACACCGGCCUCUCCCGCCUCCCAGCAGGGCACGUGCAAGAACCACAUCCGCCAGCCACUGCCACUGGAUAAAACGGACACGUUCCUCAACACAGGUUCAGGUUACACUUCCUACUCAAUCCACUGUGACCUGAAAAAUAAACUCUAUGACCUUAC